UACGGAGGGUGCAAACGUUGCUCGGAUUUACUGGGCGUAAAGGGGGCGCAGGCGGUCAGUUAAGUCAGAUGUGAAAGCCCGAGGCUCAACCUCGGAAUUGCACUUGAUACUGGCUGACUCGAGUAUGUUAGAGGAGAGCGGAAUUCCAGGUGUAGCGGUGAAAUGCGUUGAGAUCUGGAGGAACACCGGCGGCGAAGGCGGCUCUCUGGGGCAUUACUGACGCUGAGGCCCGAAAGCGUGGGGAUCAAACAGG
rnacentral:misc_RNA from 1 species